rnacentral:rRNA from 1 species
GACGUAGGGCGCGAGCGUUGUCCGGAUUUAUUGGGCGUAAAGAGCUCGUAGGCGGCUUGUUGCGUCGACCGUGAAAACCCGGGGCUCAACUUCGGGCUUGCGGUCGAUACGGGCGGGCUAGAGUUCGGUAGGGGAGACUGGAAUUCCUGGUGUAGCGGUGAAAUGCGCAGAUAUCGGGAAGAACACCCGUGGCGAAGGCGGCUCUCUGGGACGGUACUGACGCUGAGACGCGAAAGCGUGGGGAGCGAACAGG